rnacentral:rRNA from 1 species
GAUGAACGCUGGCGGCGUGCCUAGUACAUGCAAGUCGAGCGAACGGACGAGAAGCUUGCUUCUCUGAUGUUAGCGGCGGACGGGUGAGUAACACGUGGAUAACCUACCUAUAAGACUGGGAUAACUUCGGGAAACCGGAGCUAAUACCGGAUGAUAUUUUGAACCGCAUGGUUCAAAAGUGAAAGACGGUCUUGCUGUCACUUAUAGAUGGAUCCGCGCUGCAUUAGCUAGUUGGUAAGGUAACGGCUUACCAAGGCAACGAUGCAUAGCCGACCUGAGAGGGUGAUCGGCCACACUGGAACUGAGACACGGUCCAGACUCCUACGGGAGGCAGCAGUAGGGUAUCUUCCGCAAUGGGCGAAAGCCUGACGGAGCAACGCCGCGUGAGUGAUGAAGGUCUUCGGAUCGUAAAGCUCUGUUAUUAGGGAAGAACAUAUGUGUAAGUAACUGUGCACAUCUUGACGGUACCUAAUCAGAAAGCCACGGCUAACUACGUG